UGCUCGACGUUCUCGAACCGACGUUGCUUCACGUUGCCGAAGCUCAGGAUCCGCUGCUCGACGUUCACGAACCAACGCGGCUUCACGUUCUCGAAGGUCGGGUUCCGCCGCUCGCUUCGUACGUUUACGUUGAACUUCACGGUCCCGAACCUCAGGUUCUGCUGCUCGACGUUCACGAACCAACGCGGCUUCCCGUUCUCGAAGGUCGGGUUCCGCCGCUCGCUUCGUACGUUUACGUUGAACUUCACGGUCCCGAACCUCAGGUUCUGCUGCUCGACGUUCUCGAACCGACGUUGCUUCACGUUGCCGAAGCUCAGGAUCCGCUGCUCGACGUUCACGAACCAACGCGGCUUCACGUUCUCGAAGGUCGGGUUCCGCCGCUCGCUUCGUACGUUUACGUUGAACUUCACGGUCCCGAACCUCAGGUUCUGCUGCUCGACGUUCACGAACCAACGCGGCUUCCCGUUCUCGAAGGUCGGGUUCCGCCGCUCGCUUCGUACGUUUACGUUGAGCUUCACGGUCCCGAACCUCAGGUUCUGCUGCUCGACGUUCACGAACCAACGCGGCUUCCCGUUCUCGAAGCUCAGGAUCCGCUGCUCGACGUUGAUGUUUCGAAGCGGCUUCGCG